rnacentral:tRNA from 1 species
GCCUUCGUGGUGUAACGGUAGCGCACUAGGCGCGUAUUCGAAAGGUCUUGGGUUCGAGUCCCAGUGAGGGCA